AGCUCCCAUGCAGCCCACAGCCCUAAAGGCUGAUUUCACUCCCACCAUGCCCCACCAACAGCAUUGAGUUUAUUUCCAGGAAGCUGGUGAUCAGGGCUGAGAACUUGCCCCAGGCUACAAGCCUCCCAGCUGAGAAAAGGAGCGAACUCACAGUUCCUCGACUGUUCCAUGGAGCCUGCAGUGGCAGUCCACCUCCUUCAAAGGGUCUGUGGACUUUCUCGGCUUUCCUGGAAUUAGCAGUUCACAAAGCACAUUCACAUAUAAGGGCUUAUUUUGAAUUGAUCUUGGCAGCAAUUCUAUGAGACAAGUAAAAGCAUGAGAGGAAGAGGAACUGCACCUCUUCCUUCAGUUUCAGCUUGAAUAAUAUCAGGAAGAUUCAUAUCGGUCUGAGUUGGGUCACGUACCCGAUGCAUUGUAGCUGUGGAUGGGCUGGCUUGUAUGAAGAAGGAGGUGGAGGAGGAGGAGAAGGUGAAGACAAUGCUGACUAAAAGAGGGGAUUAUAAAACUAAUCAUCAAAGCCAAGAAGGCAAGAGCAAACAUGUACCUCUGAAAACACAAGAUAACUGCAUAAGUAAUGACUUUCAGUGCAGAUCCAUAGCUAACCCAUAAACUGCUGGGGCAAAAAUCAUCUUGGAAGGCUCUGAACCUCAGAAAGGAUUCACAAGACAGUCUGCCGACCCUUUGGGAGAAAAUCCAGCAAGAUGCAAGCCUUCAGAAUCUGGGAUGUUAACCAGAAGACCUUCUACCUGAGGAACAACCAACUAGUUGCUGGAUACUUGCAAGGACCAAAUGUCAAUUUAGAAGAAAAGAUAGAUGUGGUACCCAUUAAGCCUCAUGCUCUAUUCUUGGGAAUCCAUGGAGGGAAGAUGUGCCUGUCCUGUGUCAAGUCUGGUGAUGAGACCAGACUCCAGCUGGAGGCAGUUAACAUCACUGACCUGAGUGAGAACAGAAAGCAGGACAAGCGCUUCACCUUCAUCCGCUCAGACAGCGGCCCCACCACCAGUUUCGAGUCUGCCGCCUGCCCCGGCUGGUUCCUCUGCACAGCGAUGGAAGCUGACCAGCCCGUCAGCCUCACCAAUAUGCCUGACGAGGGCGUCGUGGUCACCAAAUUCUACUUCCAGGAGGACGAGUAGUACUGCCCAGGCCUGCCUGUUUCCAUUCUGGCAUGGCAAGGACUGCAGGGGCUGCCAGUCCCCCUGCCCCAGGGCUUCCGGCUAUGGGGGCACUGAGGACCAGCCAUUGAGAGGUGGACCCUCAGAAAGCGUCACAAGAACCUGGUCACAGGACUCUGCCUCCUCUUCAACUGACCAGCCUCCAUGCUGCCUCCAGAAUGGUCUUUCUAAUGUGUGAAUCAGAGCACAGCAGCCCCUGUGCAAAGCCCUUCCAUGUUGCCUCUGCAUUCAGGAUCAAACCCCGACCACCUGCCCAGCCGCUCUCCUCUCCCCACUGCCUCCUCCUCCCUCAUUCCACGUUCCCAUGCCCCGGAUCCAUCAGGCCACUUGAUGACCCCCCACCAAGUGGCUCCCACACCCUGUUUUACAAAAAAAAAGGCCAGUCCAUGAGGAAGGUUUUUAAGGGUUUGUGGAAAAUGAAAAUUAAGGAUUUCAUGAUUUUUUUUUUAGUCUCCAUGAAGGAGAGCCCUUCAUUUGGAGAUUAUGUUCUUUCUGGGAGAGGCUCGGGGCUUAAAAUAUUCCUGCAUUUGUGAAAUGAUGGUGAAAGCACUGCUGCCCAGGCUCCAAGCUCCAUCUCCACUCCAGAUCUUUUACAGCUGCCUGCAGUACUUUACCUCCUAUCAGAAGUUUCUCAGCUCCCAAGGCUCUGAGCAAAUGUGGCUCCUGGGGAUUCUUUCCUCCUCUGCUGAAGGAAUGAAUUGCUCCUUGACAUUAUAGAGCUUCUGGCACUUGGAGACUUGUAUGAAAGAUGGCUAUGCCUCUGCCUGUCUCCCCCACCAAGCUGGGAGCUCUGCAGAGCAGGAAACAUGACUCCUGUAUGUCUCAGGUCCCUGCAGGGCCAAGCACCUAACCUUGCUCUUGGCAGGUACUCAGUGAAUGAAUGCUGUAUAUGUUGGGUGCAAAGUUCCCUACCUCCUGUGACUUCAGCUCCGUUUUACAAUAAAAUCUUGAAAAUGC